GCCGGCGUCACACUGCUCGUAUCCGCUGUUGUAGGCGGCCAGAAGUUGCUCUGGAGUGGCAAUCUGAGCCCCGAUGUCCUCGCAGGCCUCUCUGGCCUGCUCGAAGGUGAAGGCGUAGCGGCUGGAUGCAUCACGAGUCGUGCUGAGAACCACUCAGAGAUGAUGUAUCAGCUCACAAACGACUGCGGUCAGAGAAUCCAUAAUCUAUUACUUUGUGUGUGAGACGAUCAUCCAUCACAGCUGCUGAGAAGACAUUCAGCCCAUCAGCUGACCUUGAUGUUCUGCCUUGAAAACGGCCUCCAGAGUGCACAUGUCGGCAAAAACAAUGACUGACAGGAAAUGAUUAAAGAGCAACCCCGCUGCCCUUAAAAAGUCAGAGGUCAUGUGAUUUAAUGGAGCGGCGGAUGUGAGGGGGCUCGUACCUGGCUCGUGGUGGGGGGUAGAGGACGACGGCAGGACGAGCAGACAGAUGGCACACAGCAGCACAGGUAGGAU